rnacentral:rRNA from 1 species
AUUGAACGCUGGCGGCAUGCCUUACACAUGCAAGUCGAACGGUAACAGGUCUUCGGAUGCUGACGAGUGGCGAACGGGUGAGUAAUACAUCGGAACGUGCCUAGUAGUGGGGGAUAACUACUCGAAAGAGUGGCUAAUACCGCAUGAGAUCUACGGAUGAAAGCAGGGGAUCGCAAGACCUUGUGCUACUAGAGCGGCCGAUGGCAGAUUAGGUAGUUGGUGGGAUAAAAGCUUACCAAGCCGACGAUCUGUAGCUGGUCUGAGAGGACGAUCAGCCACACUGGGACUGGGACACGGCCCAGACUCCUACGGGAGGCAGCAGUGGGGAAGUUUGGACAAUGGGCGAAAGCCUGAUCCAGCAAUGCCGCGUGCAGGAUGAAGGCCUUCGGGUUGUAAACUGCUUUUGUACGGAACGAAAAGCCCCGGGUUAAUACCCUGGGGUCAUGACGGUACCGUAAGAAUAAGCACCGGCUGACUACGUGCCAGCCGCCGCCGUAA